UACGUAGGGUGCGAGCGUUAAUCGGAAUUACUGGGCGUAAAGCGUGCGCAGGCGGCGCGUUAAGACAGGUGUGAAAGCCCCGAGCUUAACUUGGGAAUUGCGCUUGUGGCUGGCGUGCUGGAGUGUGGCAGAGGGAAGUGGAAUUCCACGUGUAGCAGUGAAAUGCGUAGAGAUGUGGAGGAACACCGAUGGCGAAGGCAGCCCCCUGGGUCAAGAUUGACGCUCAUGCACGAAAGCGUGGGGAGCAAACAGG
rnacentral:rRNA from 1 species